UGGGAACGUGCUCUUUGGUUCGGAACAACUCCGGGAAACUGGAGCUAAUACCGGAUAAGCCCUUCGGGGAAAGAUUUAUCGCCAAAGGAUCGGCCCGCGUCUGAUUAGCUUGUUGGUGAGGUAAUGGCUCAC
rnacentral:rRNA from 1 species